UUAAAGAGUAUUGGACGCGAAUGGGAGAAAAGAAAAGAAGAAAAUAAUGAUUUAGCUCAAGAAGGAAUUAAUAUGUCUCUACUUACAAGUUCUGGAAGCUUUAUCGAAGACGACAAUACAGAAUUGUUCAGGCUUCAGGGCCUGGAUAUCUUGAAGAUGAUGGUUGAUAUCGAGGAAGAUGUAAGAAGAAGAACAGAAGAUGAGAUGAAUAAUUUAAA